AUGGACUUGACCUGGAAGAUCCUCCUCUUGGUGACAGCAGCCACAGGUGCCCACUCCCAGGUGCAGCUGGUGCAGUCUGGGGCUGAGAUUAAGCAGCCUGGGGCCUCAGUGAAGCUCUCCUGUAAGGCUUCUGGAUAUACCUUCACUAGCUACUACAUGCACUGGGUGAGACAGGCCCCUGGACAAGGCCUUGAGUGGAUAGGACUGAUCUCCCCUUACAAUGGUAACAAAGGCUACGCACAGAACUUCCAGGGCAGAGUCACCAUAACUGCGGACACGUCCACGAGCACAGGCUACAUGGAGCUGAGCAGCCUGAGAUCUGAGGACACAGCCGUGUAUUACUGUACGAGAGACACAGUGUGA